rnacentral:misc_RNA from 1 species
AAGUCGUAACAAGGUCUUCGUAGGUGAACCUGCGAAGGGAUCAUUAACACGUUCCAAACCUCUUAUCAACCCAUCUGUGAACUCUUGUUACUGCCGAUGUGGCUGACCACGAGUGCACGGCGCAUACGAUCGACUCAAUGAUGAGGCGGCUGACUUUUGUCUCUGCCUGGUCUAGUAGUAUGCCUCUGUGUCCGCUUCGGACAGCAGUCCUUGUGGUUCGGUCCGGCCCACUAUAUAUGCGAUGUUCGACGGCCGUCAUCUGCUGUCGACUCGCAUAUCACACACGCCCUGCGACUCGCUCGUGACCUUCGUGUCACUGGCUUGGCGCACUACAUCAAUUUAUCCAACACAAACUUUGCUGCAUCGACGCAUCAGUCGGUGCAUGCGAGAAACAAACUAAACAGUGAACAACUCUUAGCAAUGGAUAUCUUGGUUCUC